UCCUCUUGCGCACACAAUUGCACCUGCUCUCUGCGCUGGACUCUAUAUAUUUUGUAGUGGAUUAAUAUUUUCUGGCAAACCUUGGAUGGUGAAAACACUUCUAAUCACUUCUGGCAUCACAGAGGUCUGUUUCAUCUGGACACUUUUUUCCUCUCUUUCCUGCUCCAUGUGGAAUGUAUUUUGAGCAGCUUAAGGAGGAGGGCGGUGCUGUCACGGUCAACAAAGAUGCAACAGAAAAAGCUGAAGGGAGUCAACUAUUUUGUCCGUUUGAGGAAAUCCCGUUCAUCAGCAAAGCAGUCAAUCUGAGCACCAAGUGACACUCACAAACACACACACACACACACACACACACACACACACUGGUUUCUCUUUACUUCUGCAACAAACUACAAUAAAGUUGAACUGUGAAAAGAUGGCCUACCAAAGCUGUGAUUUGUUCAGCUCAAAAAAAUAAAUAAAUAAAUACAAUCUAUGUGACAUUGCAUGUACAUUGCAUUUAAUAGUGUGUUACUAUGUUUUAACACAAACAGGGGCAGAUUAGGUAGAACACUUCAAAACAUUUUGUUUCAGAACAAUUAAUGAUGUUAUGAGGCGACAUUUAGCAGAACACCUGAUGUCUUCCUUUAGAUACGGACUCCAGAACAAUGUUCCACAAAACACAGUUUGGAAACAUUCUGGAAAGGUGUUUCCAGGUUGCCAUCACCAAUCUGCAGUACAGACGAAAGGUUUUGGCAUCAUCCCCAGCCACACAUUCUAUCCCUUCUUUAAUUCCAGUUUGGCUUUCCCAUUCUGUUGUAUAUUUGGUGGACAUCUUGUUUAUCUCCACAGUUGAUAACUUGUUAGCUGGUGCUCAUGCAGGUGCCUCAUCCAGCAGGUGGCAGGCACGCCUAUGGGAUGUUACACAGCUGCCCCCAGUUCCUCGGGGUACCACAGAUUGGUUUUAUGUCGGACGCCCUUCCUGAUGCCACUCCAGUUCAACAUGCUCACAGCUCCUGGUGUUGCCAGGCGGACUCCCAGC